rnacentral:rRNA from 1 species
AAAUUUUCAACGAUGGAUAUCUUGGUUCCCAUAACGAUGAAGAACGCAGCGAAGUGCGAUAAGCAGUGCGAAUUGCAGAACCGUGAGUCAUCAGAUUUUUGAACGCAAUUGGCGCCAGUUGGUAAUCCAGCUGGCAUGCUUGUUUCAGUGUCUUGUUCUCUCCUCACCCAAAUCUUAAUGUGAGAGAUGCCCUUCUC